rnacentral:rRNA from 1 species
GCAAUGCCGCGUGAGUGAAGAAGGCCUUCGGGUUGUAAAGCUCUUUUGUCAGGGAAGAAACGGUGAGCUCUAAUACAGUUUGCUAAUGACGGUACCUGAAGAAUAAGCACCGGCUAACUACGUGCCAGCAGCCGCGGUAAUACGUAGGGUGCAAGCGUUAAUCGGAAUUACUGGGCGUAAAGCGUGCGCAGGCGGUUUUGUAAGUCUGUCGUGAAAUCCCCGGGCUCAACCUGGGAAUGGCGAUGGAGACUGCAAGGCUAGAGUUUGGCAGAGGGGGGUAGAAUUCCACGUGUAGCAGUGAAAUGCGUAGAUAUGUGGAGGAACACCGAUGGCGAAGGCAGCCCCCUGGGUCAAAACUGACGCUCAUGCACGAAAGCGUGGGGAGCAAACAGGAUUAGAUACCCUGGUAGUCCACGCCCUAAACGAUGUCUACUAGUUGUCGGGUCUUAAUUGACUUGGUAACGCAGCUAACGCGUGAAGUAGACCGCCUGGGGAGUACGGUCGCAAGAUUAAAACUCAAAGGAAUUGACGGGGACCCGCACAAGCGGUGGAUGAUGUGGAUUAAUUCGAUGCAACGCGAAAAACCUUACCUACCCUUGACAUGGAUGGAAUCCUUGAGAGAU